UAUCUCUGUAGAGUCUGCAUAUCAAUAAGCGGAGGAAAAGAAACUAACAAGGAUUCCCUUAGUAACGGCGAGUGAAGCGGGAAGAGCUCAAAUUUGAAAUCUUCAAGGUUCUACCUUGACGAAUUGUAGUUUAUAGAAGUGUUUUCUGUUAGUAGAGUAGUAAAAGUUCUUUGGAAUAGGACAUCAUAGAGGGUGAGAAUCCCGUAUUUGACUAUUCUUUCUAGCUUUGUGAUACACUUUCAACGAGUCGGAUUGUUUGGGAAUGCAGUCCAAAAUGGGUGGUAAAUUUCAUCUAAAGCUAAAUAUUGGCGAGAGACCGAUAGCGAACAAGUACCGUGAGGGAAAGAUGAAAAGAACUUUGAAAAGAGAGUUAAACAGUACGUGAAAUUGUCAAAAGGGAAGCGUUUGACACCAGUGUUGUUUUUCCGAAAAUCAAUUACGAAUGUUUUGUUUUUGAGAAGUUAUGACUUCAUCGGCUUGCUCUCUUCUUUACGAAACUUUCUUAAUGCACUUUUCGGUUAACAAGUCAACAUCAAUUUCUCUUGUUGUAAAAGGGUAUGAGGAAGGUGGCUUUCUUUUCGGAGAAAGUGUUUAUAGCCUUGUACCUCUGCAAUCGGAGAGAUUGAGGUCUGCAGCGUAGAUCCUUCGGGGUUAGAUACAUUUGUGCUAAGUUAUAGCUUUUCAUAGACAACUUGUUGACUAUGUUAAGUCUUGUAGCUUACUCGCUUACUGCUAUUUUACCUACGCUUAGGAUGUUGAUGUGAUACUGCGAGCA
rnacentral:rRNA from 1 species